rnacentral:lncRNA from 1 species
CCUCCAUCUGAGACGAGCAUCUUUACCUAUCCCAAGUAGAGAAGUAGUCUGCUUGACUCCUUGGACUCCAGCUCAUUUAGUAGGAUAGAGGGAAAGAUUCAGGAAUGGCAUUGGUGGGGGUAGGGGUGAUGAGCACCAUUAGCAUCUCCUUGGGAAUGACCCAAUUUCUCAGCUUCUGUUUCACCUCCUGGCCCAGCUAGACUUGCUAAUGAGCAGUGAUGCCAACUCACACCUUAUGAAAGUCAGGUCAUUGGGAUGUUCUUUCUUCUGAGAUCAGGGAGAAUUGGAACAUAGAUAUUUGGCCUUAGUCCAGAAGAAGCAACAUCUUAUUGAGGGCAGGAAGAAAGUUAAGUUUAUUUUUGGGGGGCCACUUGGAGAUUGCUUUGUAUAGCACACUGUAAUGAUAGACCCAAUUCUUCAGACCUCCCUCCAUGCAUACUCUUUUCCAUGUGACUUUGCAGUUUCCAUCACAAGAGACAUGGAGUCUCUUUCCCUACCUCUUGAAUUUGGUCUAGCCUUGUGAUUUGUUUUGGCCAAUAGAAUAUGGUAGGAGUGACUAUGUGCCAAUUCUGAGCCUAUAGCUGAAGAACGCUUGUGUGUUUCUUCUUGCUGUUUUGUACCUCUGCCAUUGCCAAGACUACUCUGAUGAAGGAGGAGAGACAUGUGGCAUUCCUCCUUUAAGCUUUGUGUCUUUGUCUGUGACAUGGGAUCAGAGACCCCACCUCUUGGGAGGAUGGUGGGAAGUAACCAUUUGACAAUGUGGUCAGUCUGGCCUUAGCUUAAGAUAUCUUGCCUUUAUCUCCCCUAGAUCUCCCAGACCAUGGUCCUCACCUAACAAGGGUAUCAGUUGUCUGCCUGGUAUGUCACUCCUCCACGUUCAUCUUCUUCUCCCCUUGUUUUGCAUCCUUGGCAAUGAUCUCACUUUAUUGCCACUGACCUUCUUCUUCCUUAUCACUGAUUUUUCUCUCUCCCUCCCACUCCCUCAUCCCUGUCCCUUUCUCUUUUUCUUUCAAACCCAUCUCCUUACCCCUAUGUGAGGUGCAUCCCAGCCUGGAUACCAGCUCAAUGUUGGGGUUGGGACUAGGUGUAUUUAUAAACUAUGAACCAGUGAAAGUUUUAGAGAGAAGAAAACAGAAUUCAAGGCCAAAGCCACGUUUAGGGCAUGACAAACUGAAACUACCUCUGUUCACAUGAAAAGAAC